GUUCCGCCGUGCUCGUACGCCAGACUGGCGAGGGGAAAGGAUGCAAGUCGGUCAAACUGAGUGCCAUUCGAGGUGACUGUAAGGUUCAGGACGAUGCUGGCUGCGUCUGCCGACAGGAAGCCGCAUUCUUUCGAGCUCGGCGGGAUGUAGUCGACGAUGGCAGGUUGAUCUGCAGCUCACAGAAGUUCAGUGCCCUUCACAGGGAGUAGCUGGGCAAGCAAGACCCACAGGAGUUCCCGCUCAACAGCGAGAUCUGCGAGCCGGAAGAACGUGCCGUCGUGGACAUCUCGCUACCAAAUCCUUCCGUCACGAUCAAAGGCUACGCUAUCGGUGCACACGGCGUACCGAUUGCCUCCGUCCAUGUUGCCCUCGUCUCGCUUCCCGUGACCGGCUCACCCGACUCUGCGACGACUCCCUCUGUCUCCGUCUCCGAGGUCGCCUCCUCUGAACUCUGCAAGAUCCGCCUCGCUGCUUCAAACGUCCCUUUCUCCGCCUGGACCUCUGCAGGUCUCGACGCCGGUCCCGCCUCUUCCGCCUCCUCCUCCUCCUCAGCAAAACACGCCAAACACUGGGCCUGGACGCUCUUCACUGUCACCCUCCCCAU
rnacentral:misc_RNA from 1 species